rnacentral:rRNA from 1 species
UGAACGCUGGCGGCGUGCCUAAUACAUGCAAGUCGAGCGAACAGAUAAGGAGCUUGCUCCUUUGACGUUAGCGGCGGACGGGUGAGUAACACGUGGAUAACCUACCUAUAAGACUGGGAUAACUUCGGGAAACCGGAGCUAAUACCGGAUAACAUAUUGAACCGCAUGGUUCAAUAGUGAAAGGCGGCUUUGCUGUCACUUAUAGAUGGAUCCGCGCCGUAUUAGCUAGUUGGUAAGGUAACGGCUUACCAAGGCAACGAUACGUAGCCGACCUGAGAGGGUGAUCGGCCACACUGGAACUGAGACACGGUCCAGACUCCUACGGGAGGCAGCAGUAGGGAAUCUUCCGCAAUGGGCGAAAGCCUGACGGAGCAACGCCGCGUGAGUGAUGAAGGUCUUCGGAUCGUAAAACUCUGUUAUCAGGGAAGAACAAAUGUGUAAGUAACUGUGCACAUCUUGACGGUACCUGAUCAGAAAGCCACGGCUAACUAC